CCCGCUGAACUUAAGCAUAUCAUUAAGCGGAGGAAAAGAAACUAACAAGGAUUCCCCCAGUAACGGCGAGUGAAGCGGGAAGAGCUCAAACUUUAAAUCUCCACGUUUACGUGGCGAAUUGUAGUCUAUUGAGGCUGUUGUCAGCAUAGCGACCUGGGAGAAGUCCCUUGGAAAAGGGCAGCAAAGAGGGUGAUACUCCCGUCUCUGCUCAGGUUGUCUGUGUGUACGAUACGCUUUUUUUGAGUCGAGUUGUUUGGGAAUACAGCUCAAAGUAGGUGGUAAAUUCCAUCUAAAGCUAAAUAUUGGUGCGAGACCGAUAGCGAACAAGUACCGUGAGGGAAAGAUGAAAAGAACUUUGAAAAGAGAGUUAAAGAGUACCUGAAACUGUUGAAAGGGAACCGUAUCGUUUCCAGUGUUGAAUCCUGUGUAUAUUUCAUCAGCGGAGAGAUUUGCUGGUGCCCUGUGCAUAGGUGUGACGUCAGGGUCAGUUUGUAUGCUGCGGGAGAUGGGUAGUGAGGAGGUGAUUCAUUUCGGUGAAAGUUAUACCUUGCUGUCUAGUUGCCGUGGUUGAGACUGAGGUGCCUACAAUACGCUUUGGGGUUCGGUGUUGUCUCGUUUUGGUGACUGCUCGGAUAGCUUGCUAUGUCUGCGGUUGAUCGAGGCGAUAGGAUGGCACUGAUAACUUCUGCUGUUCGGGACUCUGGCGAAAUGGAGCGAUACGACCCGUCUUGAAACACGG
rnacentral:rRNA from 1 species